ACGAACGCUGGCGGCGUGCUUAACACAUGCCGGUCGAACGGAAAGGCCCUGCUUGCAGGGUACUCGAGUGGCGAACGGGUGAGUAACACGUGGGUGAUCUGCCCUGCACUUCGGGAUAAGCCUGGGAAACUGGGUCUAAUACCGGCUAGGAGCCAUUUUUAGUGUGAUGGUUGGAAAGUUUUUUCGGUGUAGGAUGAGCUCGCGGCCUAUCAGCUUGUUGGUGGGGUAAUGGCCUACCAAGGCGGCGACGGGUAGCCGGCCUGAGAGGGUGGACGGCCACAUUGGGACUGAGAUACGGCCCAGACUCCUACGGGAGGCAGCAGUGGGGAAUAUUGCACAAUGGGCGCAAGCCUGAUGCAGCGACGCCGCGUGGGGGAUGACGGCCUUCGGGUUGUAAACUCCUUUCGCUAGGGACGAAGCUUUUUGUGACGGUACCUAGAUAAGAAGCACCGGCUAACUACGUG
rnacentral:rRNA from 1 species